GGGCGGUUAGCUCAGUUGGGAGAGCGCAGCGUUCGCAAUGCUGAGGUCGGGGGUUCGAGUCCCCUACCGUCCA
rnacentral:tRNA from 1 species